rnacentral:rRNA from 1 species
AUUGAACGCUGGCGGCAUGCUUUACACAUGCAAGUCGAACGGCAGCGCGGGUUUCGGCCUGGCGGCGAGUGGCGAACGGGUGAGUAAUACAUCGGAACGUGCCCAGUAGUGGGGGAUAGCUCGGCGAAAGCCGGAUUAAUACCGCAUACGACCUGAGGGUGAAAGCGGGGGAUCUUCGGACCUCGCGCUAUUGGAGCGGCCGAUGGCAGAUUAGCUAGUUGGUGGGGUAAAGGCCUACCAAGGCGACGAUCUGUAGCUGGUCUGAGAGGACGACCAGCCACACUGGGACUGAGACACGGCCCAGACUCCUACGGGAGGCAGCAGUGGGGAAUUUUGGACAAUGGGCGAAAGCCUGAUCCAGCAAUGCCGCGUGUGUGAUGAAGGCCUUCGGGUUGUAAAGCACUUUUGGCGGGAACGAAAAGGACUGUGCCAAUACCACGGUUCGGUGACGGUACCCGCAGAAUAAGCACCGGCUAACUACGUG